UACGGAGGAUCCGAGCGUUAUCCGGAUUUAUUGGGUUUAAAGGGUGCGCAGGCGGGAGAUUAAGUCGGCGGUGAAAUUUUGCAGCUCAACUGUAAAAGUGCCUUCGAAACUGGUUUCCUUGAGUGUAGAUGAAGUAGGCGGAAUUUGUGGUGUAGCGGUGAAAUGCGUAGAGAUCGGGAGGAACACCAGUGGCGAAGGCGGGUAACUGGACUGCAACUGACGCUGAGGCGCGAAGGCGUGGGGAUCAAACAGGAUUAGAUACCCUGGUAGUCCCUGA
rnacentral:rRNA from 1 species